rnacentral:tRNA from 1 species
GCCACGGUGGUCUAGCGGUUAGAACGACGCUGGCCUUGUAAUCCUGGGGUCUCGGGUUCGAUUCCCGGCGGUGCCC